UUUGUGGAGUUUGCUUUUUUUUAUAUUCCUCAUAGUGUCCACUGAAGCAAAAAGUGUUUUUGUAAUUUUAAUAGAAUACAACUUAUAUAUUUUUUAGCUUUUUGCUUGUGAUUCUGGUUGCAUAGUAAGAGGAUAUUGCCUAACAGAGGGCAUGACUCUUCUCGAGUUUAUUUUUUUCAAGAGUUUUAUAAUUUUAACUCUUACAUAAUUUAGCUUUUACAUUUAGGUCUAUAAUCCAUUUUGAGUUAUAUUAUAUCUGAUAUAUAUAUAUAUAUAUAUAUAUAUAUAUAUAUAUAUAUAUAUACACCACAUCAUCCCUAUCCAUUUGUAUAUCAGUGUAUGCUUAGGAUGCUUCCAUAUCUUGGCUAUUGUUCAAUAAUCCUACAUUAAGGAUAAGGGUGCAUAUAUUUUUCCAAGUUAGUGUCUUCAUUUUCUUUGGGUAAAUACUCAGUAGUGGAAUUACUGGAUCAUACGGUAUUUUCACUUUUAAUUUCUGCAGGAACCUCCAUACUGCUUUCUAGAACGGCUGUGGCAAUUUACAUUUCCACCAAUAAUGCACAAGAGUUCCUUUUUCCCCAUAUCCUACCAAUACUUGUUACUUUCAUCUUUUCUAUUUUAGCCAUUCUGACAGGUGUAAGGUGGUAACUCAUUGUGGUUUUGAUUUGCAUUUCCCUUGAUGAUUAGCAAUAUUGAACAUCUUUUCAUGUGUCUGUUUGCCAUAGGUAUAUAUUUGUAAAAAUGUCUAUACAGGUCCUCUGCCCAUUUCUUAAUCAGACUGUGUGUGUGUGUGUGUGUGUGUGUGUGUGUGUGUGUGUGUUGAGUUGUAUAAAUUUCUUAUACAUUUUGGAUAUUAACCUCUUACCAGAUAUAUGUAAAUGUCUUCUCAUAUUUAAUAGAUUGUCUUUUGUUUAGUUGAUAGUUUUCUUCAAUGUAAAAAUAGAGAACAAACUGAUGGUUGUUAGAAGGAAGGGGGUGGCGAGAUGGGUAAAAUGGGUGAAUGGGAUGCAGGCUUCCAUUUAUGGAAUGAAUAAGUCUUGGGACAAAAGGUGCAAUAUGAGAAAUAUAGUCAAUGAUACUGUAAUAGCAUUAUAUGGCAACAGAUGGUAGCUGCAUUUGUGGUGAGCACAGCAUAAUGUACAGAGAUGUUGAAUCACAAUGCUGCACAUCUGAAACUAAUGUGACGUUAUUUGUGUCAACUAUUCUCAAAUAACUAAAAAAUAAAUAAAUAAAUAAAUAAAAGUAAAUGAGUUCCUGGGUGGCUCAGGCAGUUGAGCUUCAGACUCUUGAUUUGGCUCAGGUCAUGGUCCUGGGAUUGACCCCUGAGUUGGGCUCCACACUCAACAGAGAGUGUGUUUCUCCCUCAUCCCUCCUUCCAUCAUGCAUACACGCACACUAGUGCGCUGUCUAAAAUAAAUAAAUCACUUUUUAAAAAAUAAAGAUAAAUAAAUAAAUUAAAUUAAAUUAAAUAAGAAGGUGCCUGUGGCAUCGAGGGGUAAAUAAAAUCAUACAAGUUCCCACGAUAAGGACCUGUAUCUGGAAUCUUGAUUUGUGUCAUGCAAAGAUAGAAAUAUAAGAAAUCAACAGUGACAAAACAAAUUUUAAAAAUUCCACAAGCAGUAGAUAUUACUUAAUAAACAUAAACAAUGCUUUAAAAAAAGAAAGAAAAGAAAGUCAAGUUUAAAAGAACUGAGAUAAUUGUCCUUUAGUGUGAGAUUUUAUGUUUAUCCGGCCGGUAGUUAAGCUGUGCUUACUGUUAGACCUAUUGGUGUUAGUGACUUAAAUUUCCUGUGAUGUCCUUGUUUCUCUCUUCCCUUUAAUCGCUAGAUUUCCCUAAAUCUUAAAUAAGAUCAGACAUGCAGCUCUUUCAGUUGUAUCACUGUUAUUAGAUAGCAGCCCUAUUGGUGUGGAGGUAAGGUGUGGGGGUAGAAGCAGUGUUCUACAGACUUAUGAUUUGAUAUCAGUCUUUCAGUGAGCCUGUGGUCUUGGGCUGUGUGACCUGCAAAGUAAUCUCAGUUUAUUACCCCCCAUACCUCAAGUAGAAAGGAAGGCCAAAGGGGGCCAGAGUUGGGAAUUUUCCUUCCCUCAAGUCAGUUGUCUCUGGUAAAUCUCUAGUCUAUAGUAGAACUCUUUCCCUUGAAAACAGGCUUUAAGAACAUAAUUUUCUGGGCAUAUUUCAAAAUGGCUAUUUUUUCCUUCCUUGCUAGUGGCAUGAAGAAAUUUUUUUCCUCCUCUAGGAGGGAUCCUCAAGGUAAAACUCACAUAAAUAUUGAGUUACAUUAAGACCCCUUACAACACUGAACCAUUUUUAACCCAAAAUUAUCCUCACUGAUCACCCAGUAAUCCAUUAAUCAUACUUAAAUUUUCCUACCCAGUACUGAUUGCAACAGAGGUUACUGCUCCUUGUCUUCUGCUGCGGUAAGCUGUGAUUAUCUGUAUCUGCCUGUCUCUCCCAUUUAGAGGACAUUGUUUUGUUUUUUGUUUUUUUCUGUGACCUGAAUUCUCUGAUAGGUCUAAAAAUAGUUGUUAAUUUUUAAUUUAUUCAAUAUUAUUUUCUCAUGAGAAUGGAAAUAAUGAUUUCCAAGCUUCUAACUUGCAAAAGCAGAAAUCAGUCAAUUGUAUUCAUUUUAUUUUUUUAUUACUGUUCUUCAUAUAAGUAAUCUCAGUUGAUGCAUACUGAAAUUCACUGUUUUUGUUGCCAAUUUAAAUCUGCUCUUGAACCUCACUAGCAAUUUUUUAUUCGUUAUUUCCACUUUUCAUUUCAGAAUACUAUCAGGUUCUUUAGAAAUAAUUUAUAUGUCUUUUUUAUAUUUUCUGUUAAUGAGACAUUAUUUUCAUACUUCCUUUUAAUUUGUCAGGUAUAAUAUCCUUGAGAUUUUUAAAACACAUUUACAAUUGCUGAUUUAAAAGCUUCAUUCAAUACUUCUAUCUGGACUUUCUCAGGCAUAGUUUCUAUUGAUUGAUUUUCUUCUUGGUACUGAGUAUACAUUCUUAUUUCUAGUAUGUCUCAUAAUUUUAGGUGAGAAUUGAACAUUUAAAAUAACAUAAUGUGGCAACUUCAAACUAACCCCCUGUAUCUUCAAGAUUUGUUGUUUUUGUUUCUCUGGAAACUCCUUGACUAAUUACAUAAUGUCUGUAUUCUUUGUUGUGGGUGGCCACUUAUUUCUCCAUUCAGUGCGUGUGCUAAUGUGUGUGUAAAUGUGCACACAUAUUUGUGUUGUGGCAUGCUUUAAAAGCUAUGGCAGUUUAAAAUUCUGUCAUAACCUUCGCUUGCUGCUUGUAGAGAGCCUCAA
rnacentral:lncRNA from 1 species